GACGAACGCUGGCGGCGUGCUUAACACAUGCAAGUCGAACGAAGUGGCGAACGGGUGAGAAACGCGUAAUCAACCUGCCCUUCAGAGGGGGACAAAAGUUGGAAACGACUGCUAAUACCGCAUACUGAAGGAGGGGAUUGCGUCUGAUUAGCUCGAUGGGGGGGUAACUGCCCACCAAGGCAAUGAUCAGUAGCCGGUCUGAGAGGAUGAACGGCCACAAUUGGACUGAGACACGGCCCAGACUCCUACGGGAGGCAGCAGUGGGGAAUCUUCCGCAAUGGACGAAAGUCUGGCGGAGCAACGCCGCGGGGGUGAUGACGGCCUUCGGGUUGUAAAGCUCUGUUAAUCGGGACGCGGUACCGGAAUAGAAAGCCACGGCUAACUACGUGCCAGCAGCCGCGGUAAUUC
rnacentral:rRNA from 1 species